UGCAGCCAUGCCGCGUGUGUGAAGAAGGCCUUCGGGUUGUAAAGCACUUUCAGUUGUGAGGAAAGGUUAGUAGUUAAUACCUGCUAGCUGUGACGUUAGCAACAGAAGAAGCACCGGCUAACUCCGUGCCAGCAGCCGCGGUAAUACGGAGGGUGCGAGCGUUAAUCGGAAUUACUGGGCGUAAAGCGUACGCAGGCGGUUUGUUAAGCGAGAUGUGAAAGCCCCGGGCUCAACCUGGGAACUGCAUUUCGAACUGGCAAACUAGAGUGUGAUAGAGGGUGGUAGAAUUUCAGGUGUAGCGGUGAAAUGCGUAGAGAUCUGAAGGAAUACCGAUGGCGAAGGCAGCCACCUGGGUCAACACUGACGCUCAUGUACGAAAGCGUGGGGAGCAAACGGGAUUAGAUACCCCGGUAGUCCACGCCGUAAACGAUGUCUACUAGGAGUUCGGUUUUUCGGAACUGUCUUCCAAAGCUAACGCAUUAAGUAGACCGCCUGGGGAGUACGGCCGCAAGGUUAAAACUCAAG
rnacentral:rRNA from 1 species